rnacentral:rRNA from 1 species
AGUGAACGCUGGCGGUAGGCCUAACACAUGCAAGUCGAACGGCAGCACAGUAAGAGCUUGCUCUUACGGGUGGCGAGUGGCGGACGGGUGAGGAAUACAUCGGAAUCUACUUUUUCGUGGGGGAUAACGUAGGGAAACUUACGCUAAUACCGCAUACGACCUACGGGUGAAAGGAGUGGAUCUUCGGACCUGGCGCGAUUGAAUGAGCCGAUGUCGGAUUAGCUAGUUGGCGGGGUAAAGGCCCACCAAGGGGAGGAUCGGUAGCUGGUCUGGGAGGAUGGUCGGCCACCCUGGAACUGGACCACGGUCAAGGCUCCUACGGGAGGCCGCAGUGGGGUAUGUUGGACAGAGGGCGCAAAUCUGGUACAGCGAGCCCGCGUGGGUGACGGAGGCCUUCCGGUUGUAAAGACCUUUUGUUGGGUAUGAACAGCUGCCGGUUGAUACCAAGCUGUUCUGACGGUACCCAGUGAAUAAGCACCGGCUAACUUCGUG